AAGGCUCUGAAUGUUUGAGGGAACCCUAGGGUGAUGCUGAGUGGGAAUCUUACAGAGAGAAAAAAAUGCAUGCUUGAAAAUUCUGCUUCGUUCACACAUCCAUUCACUUCAUCAUAAAGCAAACCCAUUGUGUGCUCAGCAGUGCUUCAGUGCUGAGUGAUAUGAAGACAAGUAAUAGGCAAGACUCUGCUUGUGUGUGUGUGUGUGUGUGUGUGUGUGUGUGUGUGUAGCUGGGUAUCCAACUCAAAGCCUUCUGCAUGACAAGUGGAAUUUUCUCCAUUCCAGGCACAGAGAUAAAGAGACAGCCCCCUGCUGUGCUUUUUGAAGGAAACGGCCAUGCCUACACCACAUCCAUCAGCAGGAGCCGAUUCCACUGUUGAAUUAACAGCCUUGUUUAAUGGCCGCCUCGCUGCUCAUCACACCUCUGUUUGAUUAAAUUGUUAUAUAAAGAGAAAUGUUUUGGCAACAAC
rnacentral:lncRNA from 1 species